rnacentral:siRNA from 1 species
GGGUACCCAGUCCAUUUUAAACCU